rnacentral:rRNA from 1 species
UUCGCCCUUAGAGUUUGAUCCUGGCUCAGGACGAACGCUGGCGGCGCGCCUAACACAUGCAAGUCGAACGAGCGAGAGAGAGCUUGCUUUCUCGAGCGAGUGGCGAACGGGUGAGUAACGCGUGAGGAACCUGCCUCAAAGAGGGGGACAACAGUUGGAAACGACUGCUAAUACCGCAUAAGCCCACGGCUCGGCAUCGAGCAGAGGGAAAAGGAGCAAUCCGCUUUGAGAUGGCCUCGCGUCCGAUUAGCUAGUUGGUGAGGUAACGGCCCACCAAGGCAACGAUCGGUAGCCGGACUGAGAGGUUGAACGGCCACAUUGGGACUGAGACACGGCCCAGACUCCUACGGGAGGCAGCAGUGGGGAAUAUUGCACAAUGGGGGAAACCCUGAUGCAGCGACGCCGCGUGGAGGAAGAAGGUCUUCGGAUUGUAAACUCCUGUUGUUGGGGAAGAUAAUGACGGUACCCAACAAGGAAGUGACGGCUAACUACGUGCCAGCAGCCGCGGUAAAACGUAGGUCACAAGCGUUGUCCGGAAUUACUGGGUGUAAAGGGAGCGCAGGCGGGAAGACAAGUUGGAAGUGAAAUCUAUGGGCUCAACCCAUAAACUGCUUUCAAAACUGUUUUUCUUGAGUAGUGCAGAGGUAGGCGGAAUUCCCGGUGUAGCGGUGGAAUGCGUAGAUAUCGGGAGGAACACCAGUGGCGAAGGCGGCCUACUGGGCACCAACUGACGCUGAGGCUCGAAAGUGUGGGUAGCAAACAGGAUUAGAUACCCUGGUAGUCCACACCGUAAACGAUGAUUACUAGGUGUUGGAGGAUUGACCCCUUCAGUGCCGCAGUUAACACAAUAAGUAAUCCACCUGGGGAGUACGACCGCAAGGUUGAAACUCAAAGGAAUUGACGGGGGCCCGCACAAGCAGUGGAGUAUGUGGUUUAAUUCGACGCAACGCGAAGAACCUUACCAAGUCUUGACAUCCCUUGACAGGCAUAGAAAUAUGUUUUCUCUUCGGAGCAAGGAGACAGGUGGUGCAUGGUUGUCGUCAGCUCGUGUCGUGAGAUGUUGGGUUAAGUCCCGCAACGAGCGCAACCCUUAUGGUCAGUUACUACGCAAGAGGACUCUGGCCAGACUGCCGUUGACAAAACGGAGGAAGGUGGGGAUGACGUCAAAUCAUCAUGCCCUUUAUGACUUGGGCUACACACGUACUACAAUGGCGUUAAACAAAGAGAAGCAAGACCGCGAGGUGGAGCAAAACUCAGAAACAACGUCCCAGUUCGGACUGCAGGCUGCAACUCGCCUGCACGAAGUCGGAAUUGCUAGUAAUCGUGGAUCAGCAUGCCACGGUGAAUACGUUCCCGGGCCUUGCACACACCGCCCGUCA